rnacentral:rRNA from 1 species
AUGGGCGCUCCUCUGUCCUCCUGGCCGUGGGCAGGCCUAGGCGCAUACAAGUACCUGCUGUACGGCCCGCUGGUGGCGAAGGUGGCGCAGGCGUGGCGGGAGCAGGGCGGCGCGCCGACGGACUCGUGGUGCCUCCACCUGCUGCUCCUGCUGGCGCUCCGGUCGCUGACGCACCAGCUCUGGUUCUCCUACGCCAACAUGCUCUUCUUCACCCGCCGCCGCCGCGUCGUCCCGGACGGCGUGGACUUCAAGCAGAUCGACGCCGAGUGGGACUGGGAUAACAUGGUGAUCAUGCAGACGCUGCUGGGGGCCAUGGCGAUCAGCAGCCCGCUGUUCCCGGCGAUGAGCGAGCUCCCUGCCUGGGACCCGCGGGGGUGGGCGGUGGCGCUGCUGGUCCACGUCGCCGUCUCGGAGCCCGGGUUCCGGUGGGCCCACAGGGCGCUCCACCGGGGCCCGCUCUUCAGCCAGUACCACUCCAAGCACCACUCGUCCCCGGUCACCCAGCCCCUCACCUCUGCGUACGGCACGCCGCUGGAGAGCCUGGUCCUGACGCUGGCCAUGGCGGCGCCGCUCGCCGGGGCGUUCCUGGCCGGCGCCGGGUCAGUGGGCCUGUUGUACGGCCACAUCUUCGCCUUCGACUACCUCCGGUGCAUGGGGUACAGCAACGUGGAGGUCAUCUCCCACAGGGCCUUCCGGGCCUUCCCCCUGCUCCGAUACCUCAUCUACACCCCGACGUACCUGAGCCUGCACCACCAGGAGAAGGACUCCAACUUCUGCCUCUUCAUGCCGCUCUUCGACCUCCUCGGCGGCACCGUGCACCCCAGGUCAUGGGAGCUCCAGAAGGAGGUCGGCCAAGGGAAGAACGACCGGGUGCCGGACUUCGUGUUCCUGGCGCACGUGGUGGACGUGGUGUCCUCCAUGCACGUGCCGUUCGCGUUCCGGGCGUGCAGCUCGCAGCCAUGGACGACGCGCCUCGUGCUGCUCCCGCUCUGGCCCGUCGCCUUCUGCAUCAUGGUGCUCCAGGUGCUCUGCUCCAAGACCUUCACCGUCAGCUUCUACUGCCUCCGCGGCGCGCUCCACCAGACCUGGACCAUCCCGCGCUACAGCUUCCAGUACUUCAUCCCGCCCAUGAAGGACGGCAUCAACCGCCAGAUCGAGCUCGCCAUCCUCAGGGCCGACAGGAUGGGCGUCAAGGUGCUCAGCCUCGCCGCGCUCAACAAGAACGAGGCGCUCAACGGCGGCGGCACGCUCUUCGUCGACCGGCACCCCGACCUCAGGGUCCGGGUGGUGCACGGCAACACGCUCACCGCCGCCGUGAUACUCCACGAGAUCCCGGGUAGUGUCAAGGAGGUGUUCCUCACCGGCGCCACGUCCAAGCUCGGCCGGGCCAUCGCGCUCUACCUCUGCAGGAAGAAGAUCAGAGUCCUGAUGCUGACGCUGUCGUCGGAGCGGUUCCUGAAGAUCCAGAGGGAGGCGCCGGCGGAGUUCCAGCAGUACCUGGUGCAGGUCACCAAGUACCACGCCGCCAAGACCGUCAAGACGUGGCUGGUGGGGAAGUGGCUGUCGCCGCGGGAGCAGCGGUGGGCGCCGGCGGGGACGCACUUCCACCAGUUCGUGGUGCCGCCGGUCAUCGAGUUCCGCCGGGACUGCACCUACGGCAAGCUGGCCGCCAUGCGGCUGCCCAAGGACGUGCAGGGCCUCGGGUCCUGCGAGUACACGAUGGAGCGGGGCGUGGUGCACGCGUGCCACGCCGGCGGCGUGGUGCACUGCCUGGAGGGGUGGGAGCACCACGAGGUGGGCGCCAUCGACGUCGACCGGAUCGACGUCGUCUGGAAGGCGGCGCUCAGGCACGGCCUCUCGCCACCGUGA